rnacentral:siRNA from 1 species
AGCCACAAGAUAAUUGAUCCGCAA